CUGGCUAAUCAUUUAGGAGCAGACUAUAGCAUGUUGAUUGUUCAUGGCUUUUCAAGGGCUCAACUGAGAAAGGCUUGUAGCUCUCAAACGGCUCAAUGACUCCCACUAUUUUUGUUGAGUCAGGGAGAUGAAUCAACUCGAAAGAGAGAACGAUGCGUUUCGAAAGUGGAGGGGGAAAAUGAUAAAGAAUUCAGCCUUAAGGAAUUGUAUGAAUCCAAUAACAUCCAGGAUGUAAAUAUGACUUAUUUUUUAGUUAUAAAGAUGGAUUGUCCUAGAAACCCUUUUCUUCAACCUGGCUUUUGAGUCUCCAAAUCUUCAAUUUAUAUUUUUGCA